CGGAAAACAUGAUGAUUUCUCAUGUCUCUUCUCUGACCUAUUACUGGAGAGAACAUGUAUGCAUCUGAUCACCG
ensembl:snoRNA